UACGGAGGAUCCGAGCGUUAUCCGGAUUUAUUGGGUUUAAGGGGAGCGUAGGCGGGUUGUUAAGUCAGUUGUGAAAGUUUGCGGCUCAACCGUAAAAUUGCAGUUGAUACUGGCAUCCUUGAGUACAGUAGAGGUAGGCGGAAUUCGUGGUGUAGCGGUGAAAUGCUUAGAUAUCACGAAGAACUCCGAUUGCGAAGGCAGCCUGCUGGACUGUAACUGACGCUGAUGCUCGAAAGUGUGGGUAUCAAACAGG
rnacentral:rRNA from 1 species